rnacentral:rRNA from 1 species
CGUGUAGGCGGUCUAGCAAGUCAGGGGUGAAAUACCACGGCUCAACCGUGGAAUUGCCUUUGAAACUGCUGGACUUGAGGCCGUGAGAGGAGACCGGAAUUCCCAGUGUAGCGGUGAAAUGCAUAGAUAUUGGGAAGAACACCAGUGGCGAAGGCGAGUCUCUGGCACGGUUCUGACGCUGAGGCGCGAAAGCUAGGGGAGCAAACG